rnacentral:rRNA from 1 species
GCCUGCUAGCCGCAGUAUUUUGACUGUGCAAAGGUAGCAUAAUCAUUUGUCUUUUAAUUUAAGGCUGGAAUGAAUGGCUUCACGAGAAACUCCCUGUCUUUUAACUUGACUUAAGAGUGCAAAGGCUCUUAUAAUCUCAGUGGACGAUCAGACCCUAUGGAGCUUUUUGGUUGGGGCGACAAAAGUUGACCCCUGAUGAAGGGUUAAAAGACUUAGUUACCCUAGGGAUAACAGCGUAAUUUUUUUGGAGAGUUCUUAUCGAUAAAGAAGUUUGCGACCUCGAUGUUGGAUUAAAGAAUCAGUGGGGGGUAGAUUUUCCACUUGAGGGUCUGUUCGACCCUUAAAUCUUU